AUGAUCGCGAAGGUUGACAGGUACCUGGCUGGAUGGAGAGCCCGUCUUCUCUCCCCGGCCGGGCGUUUGGUCCUGAUCAACGCUGUCCUCGACGCCCUUCCCACUUAUGCUAUGGCGGCGAUGUUGCUCCCGCCGGCAGUGAUCAAGGAGCUCGACUCGCUCCGUCGGGCCUUCCUCUGGAAUGCGGCCGAGCGCGCCUCCGGAGCCCAAUGCCUGGUGGCUUGGGAGCGCGUUUGCAGG
rnacentral:rRNA from 1 species